rnacentral:lncRNA from 1 species
AUUUUCUAGACAAACGUAGACUCUUCCAACCAACUUUUUUUCCAUACAGGCAUGUAAUGAGAAGUGAGAUUAUAAUCCUGACUGAGUGAAAGAAAAUAACUCACAGCGAAGGCAUUCGUGUGUGUUUUAUCGUAGAACAUCGUGCUGCCAUCUGGGAAGAGAAACACCAUGGUACAGGAGCAGCUGGU